AUGGUCUGCGUUGAUAUUGGUGUGGAGCACUGCAAACACCCAACCUGGUCAAGGAUUGGGAUGGAAAUCACACCCGAUGAACUGAGAAAGGUGGUUGAGAGCAAGGAGUUUGACACCUCCUUCUUGGACAUGUCCCUGCCCAAUGUCAUCUGCAUGAUCAUGGCCCUCAGCAUGGCCUUUCUAGUCAUCUCCAUGAUUUGCCUGUGGAUCAGCAGGAAGAAGAGCCCUGGUCAGGGCAAAGAAGGAUUUCUGCAGUGCAAAGACAUGCAGAAGCUGUGCCACGGAUUUGAGCUGCAGGAGCAGGUCCUACUCAAGAUGGACAGCAUGGAACAGCGCAUUGCUGCCCUAGAAGGUUUCCUCAGGUCCAUGUGGAGGAGGAGUUCCAGAGGCAACGGCACGCAGGAGGCUGCUGACAAGACCACAGAUGCCCUGGGCUUCUCCAAUGGCUCCGACUAAUAUCCGAUUGACCUCAACACCUGAAGACCUGGUUUAUGGACACUUUAAUGGUUACUGAUUUUUGAUUUCUGUUCUAUGGACACUAUUUUAUGGACACGUUAGUGCAUUUGGUUAAAAAAAAAGGCAUUUUAAAAGCGUUUCAAAAUAAAAUGUGUGAAAUUGCAUCAAUUGUUGAGCUUUUAUUUGAGGUCAUAGACUAUGCUUCUAAACCAAGGAGAAACGCUUGAUAUAAAACCUUAGAAAUGGGAAAUAAGGUAAAUAAAGAUUUAUAACUCACAUCACAUAGGCCUAAUGACACUGAGGUUUAACAGGAAAUGUUUGAGUUUGGCUGUGUUUCCCAAAGAUGUGAGAGAGUAUGAUUUCCAAAUUAAGUGACAUACACUCAGUGUACUAAACAUUAGGAACACCUGCUCUUUCCAUAACAUAGACUGACCAGGUGAAUCCAGGUGAAAACUUGAUGCCUUAUUGAUGUCACCAGUUAAAUGUUUUUAUUUAAUUUUAAUUUAACCUUCAUUUAACUAGGCAAGUCAGUUGAGAAAAAUUCUUAUUUACAUUGAAAGCCUACACCGGCCAAACACAGACAAUGCUGGGCCAAUUGUGCACUGUCCUAUGGGACUCCCAAUCACGGCUGGUUGUGAUACAGCAUGGAUUCGAACCAGGGUAUCUGUAGUGACACUUCAAUCACUGAGACUGCUGUGCCACUCGGGAGCCCCAAAUCCACUUCAAUAAAAUGAAGGGGAGGAGACAGUUGCUUGACAGCCUUGAGUCAUUAUCGAGACAUGGAUUGUGCAUGUGUGCCAUGCAGAGGGUGAAUGGGCAAGACAAAAUAUUUAAUGGUAGAAUCUGCAAAGGGCAGCAGCAGCUGGAUGAGGGUUGGGAACAGGUUUUUUUCUUGAUCUGUGGCUCCCUCAAGUCAUUUGUGUGUCUUAAUUGUUUCAUCACAGUGUGCUUAAAGCAUCAAACAGGCUCAGUAGCCUACAUAUAGUUGAUUUUAUUAAAACAUGGGGUGAGCCUAUAUAGGAAAAAUACACUUUUUAAGAUUUCAACCAAUCUAUUGGUCAGAAGACUACUUUUGGUCGACCAAGAUGUUUUUUUUGUCAGAGACAGCCCUAGUCAGUACAUAGAAUACCAAGAAGACAACAAUCUUCAUCAAGUCAUGCCGAUGAGUUGUCCGCUUCGCUUUUAAAUGUGAGGAGCAGUAGCACAUAGUGAAAAAUUGUAGCAGAGUGCUGGUGACAUGGAAAAUACUGCUGAAAUGUUUAAUAUAAUUUCAAUGCAUUUUUAAUAUAUCAUCUUGUGACUUACCCCAUGGAGAGAGUCCCCAGCUGACAGCCCAACUUAACAAGGAGACCCUGGUUCCUAUCAUCAAGAAGCAUGUGGAGUGUCAGAGUAUGGUAGUCAGUGAUGAGUGGAGACAUGUGAAGGUCAAUGAAAGUCAGAAUUAUGUAGACUUGCAAGAAGGAAGUUUGUAGUCUGCGUGGAAAACGAUCAGAUAAGUCCCUAAAGAGGCAACUCUGCUUCAUCGAGUGCACAUACUGUUUGGACCGGAAACACAAACAUGGAGUCCUUGGUAGAAGUCCUUGAAAGUCCUUGGUUUUUGACAGCAUAAAGAACGUGAAAAACUGAGGCUGUGAUCAAUAUGGUUGCGACCAUUUGAAACGCAAAAUGCACAAACCAUACACACACAAUCGCUCUCUUAGUCACCAUGAUCACACCGGUCCAGUCUUCAACUGGUCAUUCAGUACAACAGGCGUACUGUUUCCUUUGAAUUCAACGUUGCACACCAUUCUGUCAAACUGAGUUCACCACUGGCAACAUUAUGCACAGAAAAUAUGGUGGGUGAUAGGCAGGUAAAGGUCACAGAAAUGAAGAGAAAGGGGGAGUUACUUCCCUUCCAUCUAAGAUAAGCAGUCUAGGGCACUGCAAGAGGCGUGACUACAAUCCCUGGUUCAAAUCCAGGCUGUAUCACAUCUGGCCGUGAUUGGGAGUUCCAUAGGGCGGCGCACAAUUGGCCCAGCGUCGUCCAGUGUUUGGCCGGGAUAGGCCGUCAUUGUAAAUAAGAAUUUGUUCUUAACUGACUUGCCUAGUUAAAUAAAGAUUAAAUAAAUAAUUUAAAAAGCAGACAAAUAUGUUUUCCUUGUUGCAGGACAACAGUACUUAAUUAUAAAAACAGGUAAACU
ensembl:lncRNA